rnacentral:rRNA from 1 species
GAUGAACGCUAGCUACAGGCUUAACACAUGCAAGUCGAGGGGAAACGACAUCGAAAGCUUGCUUUUGAUGGGCGUCGACCGGCGCACGGGUGAGUAACGCGUAUCCAACCUGCCCAUCACUUGGGGAUAACCUUGCGAAAGUAAGACUAAUACCCAAUGACGUCUCUAGAAGACAUCUGAAAGAGAUUAAAGAUUUAUCGGUGAUGGAUGGGGAUGCGUCUGAUUAGCUUGUUGGCGGGGUAACGGCCCACCAAGGCUACGAUCAGUAGGGGUUCAGGGAGGCAGGUCCCCCACAGUGGAACGGGGACACGGUCCAAACUCUUACGGGAGGCAGCAGUGAGGAAUAUUGGUAAAUGGACGUGAGGCGAAACCAGCCAAGUAGCGUGCAGGAAGACGGCCCUAUGGGUUGUAAACUGCUUUUAUAAGGGAAUAAAGUGAGUCUCGUGAGACUUUUUGCAUGUACCUUAUGAAUAAGGACCGGCUAAUUCCGUGCCAGCCGCCGCAGUAA